CCACACCCAGGCUUCCUUCCUGUGUAGCAGCUUUAUAAACAGAGGCGUUUUCUGUUGCAGAGCUUGUACAACAACAGGCAGUUUAUCUGGAGAUAACUUGGUCCCUGAGAAGGCUGAGAUCACCUGUCCCAGCCAGAUCCUGACAGAGCUGGACCUGGGGUAGAACAAACGGGGAGAUUCCAGAGUGCAGCUGCUGUGUGAGAGACUGAAAUAUCCAACCUGCAAACUACAGAAACUUGGGUUGGACUAUCGCUGUGUAAACAAUGAAACCCGGCCAGAGCUGGAUGCUGUGAAAAACAUAAAACCUGAUCUGGGCAUAGAGAUUUGAUGCAGCUGGUGGGUGCCAACCCCUGCACCAACAUGGCUGUGGCCUGGCUGCCCUGCCGCUAGCCAGGACAGCAGCUGUGGGGUGGGCAACACCUGCCCCUUCUAAGAUCAACCGCACCAUUACCAAGGGCUUUGUCAACAUAUCUGAGCAUCUGUGGUAGAGGGGCUGGGUAGAGAUUGUCAGGGCCAACCCUCCUGCCUCAGGGUGAGAGACUCAGGACUAGGAGCUGGGUUUGCUCCACUACUGGGCUGACCUUGGAGGUGGUAACUGGUUUGUGGGGGGAAUGAGCAGGAGAGAAGAAGGGGGUCAGGACCCAGUGGAGGGAGAGACGUGAGAGCAUGAGAUAGAGGGGUCUGUAACCUCCCUUCUCAGUCCCUGUCAGUGCAGGGGGGAGACUCAAGAACCAUCCUUGGAGCCACUGGGGAAUUUCAUUCACUAUUAUUUGUAUAUUUACAAGGGGCUUUAUAAUUUUACACAGUUCCAAAGCUAUUAAAGUGGCAUUUUCUGCAUUCAUCUCCAACAUUUUUUUUUAUCCCGGAUGUACCAUUUGUGUGUCAUUUUGCUGGAGACCCAUAAAGAUCAUGAACCAAGAGCUAAUGUUGCCCUUCAGAGUUUGUAUUUCUUGCCAUAGUUUGUGCUAAUGCACAAGAAUUCUCCCAUUCCUCGGGGCUAGGGGAGUCCUCAAGGAUAGUCCCCAGGCAUUUAUUUCAUUGUUCCCAUUUCCUAUUCAUUAUGGUUAACAUUGUAAUGAUAGUAGGAACCCAAGUUACCCACAGCGUUGUACA